rnacentral:lncRNA from 1 species
GGUGGUGGAAGAGACUAAGGAUUCGAGUGUUACCUUUCCUCUUGCAAGAGGGUAGAGAGGGAUGAAUAUCUCGCCCGUAGGUUCCGACUCAUGUUGAGUUCAUUGUCAUGUUGAACGUCUUGGAGUAGAGGAGACAUGUCCGAAGCUACAAGAGGACCACUUUAAUGGUUUUGUUCGAUAAAAUGGAAUAUAUGUGGAAGUAUAGAAGAUGAGAUAAGGUUAUAAGAGAAAAGUUUCACCUAAAUGGGAGAAGUUUGGAACACUCAAAACCUAGACGAUCCUGGGAGUAGAGGUCGAGAAUAAGGAGAAGAGGAUUGAGAAAAGUGGCCAACCAAUCUAAAAGAUAGAAGGUCCAUAAGGAAAAAGAAGAAUUCAAAUAUGAUUAAAAGAAGUAAGCCCGGUGUGGGAUGAUGCACAUGAAAAGCCAAAUAAAUGAUGAAAGAUUUAAGUUUAUGGGGGAGUUUUGUUAGGAUAAACUUAUAUUUUAGGGAUUCAUUAAAAUCUUAUUUUAUUAGUUUUGGGUUUAGUAACAUUUUGUUAGAUUUUGAUAGAGAUAAAAUAAAGUUAGUUGAUAAUCUAUU